GAGGGGGUGGUCGAAUCAGGUAAGACGCUGGGCUGCAGACCCAGAGAUUCGGGGUUCAAAUCCCCGCCCCCUCUCCA
rnacentral:tRNA from 1 species